UGCAUGGAGCCGACCUUGAAAUACCACCCUUUAAUGUUUGAUGUUCUAACGUUGACCCGUAAUCCGGGUUGCGGACAGUGUCUGGUGGGUAGUUUGACUGGGGCGGUCUCCUCCUAAAGAGUAACGGAGGAGCACGAAGGUUGGCUAAUCCUGGUCGGACAUCAGGAGGUUAGUGCAAUGGCAUAAGCCAGCUUGACUGCGAGCGUGACGGCGCGAGCAGGUGCGAAAGCAGGUCAUAGUGAUCCGGUGGUUCUGAAUGGAAGGGCCAUCGCUCAACGGAUAAAAGGUACUCCGGGGAUAACAGGCUGAUACCGCCCAAGAGUUCAUAUCGACGGCGGUGUUUGGCACCUCGAUGUCGGCUCAUCACAUCCUGGGGCUGAAGUAGGUCCCAAGGGUAUGGCUGUUCGCCAUUUAAAGUGGUACGCGAGCUGGGUUUAGAACGUCGUGAGACAGUUCGGUCCCUAUCUGCCGUGGGCGCUGGAGAACUGAGGGGGGCUGCUCCUAGUACGAGAGGACCGGAGUGGACGCAUCACUGGUGUUCGGGUUGUCAUGCCAAUGGCACUGCCCGGUAGCUAAAUGCGGAAGAGAUAAGUGCUGAAAGCAUCUAAGCACGAAACUUGCCCCGAGAUGAGUUCUCCCUGACCCUUUAAGGGUCCUGAAGGAACGUUGAAGACGACGACGUUGAUAGGCCGGGUGUGUAAGCGCAGCGAUGCGUUGAGCUAACCGGUACUAAUGAACCGUGAGG
rnacentral:rRNA from 1 species